rnacentral:rRNA from 1 species
AGCUCCAAUAGCGUAUAUUAAAGUUGUUGCAGUUAAAAAGCUCGUAGUUGAAUUUCUGUUUGGUAUUUCGCAGAAGGCACUUUGUCGACUGCUAGGUCCAAGCAUUCUUCUACUCUCCCGAGCAAUCGGGUAGUGUAGAGCCUUUACUUUGAGAAAAUUAGAGUGUUUCAAGCAAGCCUUUGCUUUGAAUACUACAGCAUGGAAUAAUACAAUAGGACUUCGGACCUAUUUGUUGGUUUCUGGUCUGAAGUAAUGAUUAAUAGGAACGGUUGGGGGCAUUCGUAUUGGACAGUCAGCGGUGAAAUGCUAUGAUUUGUUCAAGACGAACUACUGCGAAAGCAUUUGCCAAAGACGUUUUCA